rnacentral:rRNA from 1 species
CCCCGAGUAACGGCGAGUGAAUCGGGAACAGUCCAGCGUCGAAUCUGCGCGUUCUUGGAGCGCGCCGAGUUGUGACGUAAGGAAGUCCCUGUGCGGCUGACGGCGGGCGUCGUAGUCCUUCUGAUCGAGGCCUCGUCCCAGUGCGGGUGUCAGGCCCAUAAGGGCGCGCGCCGCGGCCGCUUCGGGUCUUCCCGGAGUCGGGUUGCUUGUGAAUGCAGCCCAAAGCGGGUGGUAAACUCCACCUAAGACUAAAUACGGUCGCGAGACCGAUAGCGAACAAGUACCGUGAGGGAAAGUUGAAAAGCACUUUGAAGAGAGAGUUCAAAAGUACGUGAAACCGUCGAGAGGCAAACGGGAGGGCCCGUCAGGGCUCGGUGACGCUUUCAGUUGGGCGCGGAGGCGCGCUGCGCAUCGGCUAGUCGGAGGCUCGCGCCCCGGCACCGACGUAGCACGCGUGCCGCCCCAGCGCACUAGCGUCCCGAGCGGGCCACGACCGGUUCGGCGUCGGCCAGAAGCGCCGCGCGAAGGUAGCCCGCGCUCCGGCGCGGGUGUUACAGCGCGCGUGCGUCGAGGCCCGGCGGCGGAUCGAGGAAGCGGCACCGUGCGCGCUCCCUGCGGGGGGUAGGCGGACGCCGUCGACCGGCGGGUCGCGCGAGACGUCGGGUACCGUUCGCGGUGCCCGCGUGUCGCCGGCUGUCGGACGGCGGCGGGUCGU